AAGUCGUAACAAGGUUUCCGUAGGUGAACCUGCGGAAGGAUCAUUAGCGAAGAAUUCGGCGUUCCGCUUCGGCGGCGCCCUUCGUCUUCCACCCUGUGCACCGUGGCCCUUUUUGCGCUUAGAAAAGUCGAGGAUGUUGAUACCAAUUAUGAAAAGACACAAAAUGAAGCAACGGAUCUCUUGGCUCUC
rnacentral:misc_RNA from 1 species